GACAGAGACCUCGAGCGUUAGGCGGAAUCACUGGGCUUAAAGCGCGUGUAGGCGGAUCGUUAAGUGCCUUGUGAAAUCCCGCGGCUCAACCGCGGAACCGCUGGGCAUACUGGCGGUCUUGGGCCACUCAGGGGUCACUGGAACAAGCGGUGGAGCGGUGAAAUGCGUAGAUAUAGGAAGGAACACCAGUGGCGAAGGCGACCACCUGGACUGAUACUGACACUGAGGUGCGAAAGCGUGGGGAGCAAACAGG
rnacentral:rRNA from 1 species